rnacentral:miRNA from 1 species
ACGCGUCUAAGUCGCCAAGAUUUG